GACAGAGGGUGCAAACGUUGCUCGGAAUUACUGGGCGUAAAGCGAGUGUAGGCGGUUUGGUAAGUCGGAUGUGAAAGCCCCGGGCUCAACCCGGGAAGUGCACUCGAUACUGCCAAGCUAGAGUAUCGGAGAGGUUGGUGGAAUUCUCGGUGUAGAGGUGAAAUUCGUAGAUAUCGAGAGGAACACCGGUGGCGAAGGCGGCCAACUGGACGAAUACUGACGCUGAGACUCGAAAGCGUGGGGAGCAAACAGG
rnacentral:rRNA from 1 species